UACAGAGGUCCCGAGCGUUGUUCGGAUGCAUUGGGCGUAAAGGGUGCGUAGGUGGCGCCGUAAGUGGGGUGUGAAAUCCCGGGGCUUAACCCCGGGACUGCAUUCCAUACUGCGGUGCUUGAGGACUGGAGAGGAGACUGGAAUUUACGGUGUAGCAGUGAAAUGCGUAGAGAUCGUAAGGAAGACCAGUGGCGAAGGCGGGUCUCUGGACAGUUCCUGACACUGAGGCACGAAGGCCAGGGGAGCAAACAGG
rnacentral:rRNA from 1 species